rnacentral:rRNA from 1 species
AUUGAACGCUGGCGGCAGGCCUAACACAUGCAAGUCGAGCGGUAGCACAGAGAGCUUGCUCUCGGGUGACGAGCGGCGGACGGGUGAGUAAUGUCUGGGAAACUGCCUGAUGGAGGGGGAUAACUACUGGAAACGGUAGCGAAUACCGCAUAAUGUCGCAAGACCAAAGUGGGGGACCUUAGGGCCUCAUGCCAUCAGAUGUGCCCAGAUGGGAUUAGCUAGUAGGUGGGGUAACGGCUCACCUAGGCGACGAUCCCUAGCUGGUCUGAGAGGGUGACCAGCCACACUGGAACUGAGACACGGUCCAGACUCCUACGGGAGGCAGCAGUGGGGAAUAUUGCACAAUGGGCGCAAGCCUGAUGCAGCCAUGCCGCGUGUGUGAAGAAGGCCUUCGGGUUGUAAAGCACUUUCAGCGGGGAGGAAGGCGUUAAGGUUAAUAACCUUGGCGAUUGACGUUACCCGCAGAAGAAGCACCGGCUAACUCCGUGCCAGCCGCCGCAGUAA